AGCGCUGGGUAGAGUAGAUGACAGCAUAUUAACACUGUCAUAUGUAUCAGGCUAAGCUAAAAUUUGACUUACAAAUAAGCCUCCUUCUGACACAAGUUCCCCAUUAUUAUGCCAUAUGGGUAGUCUCCUCAGUAUAUUAAAGGCGAUGCCUACCCUGACCAUCUGUACACAAAUCACCAUGAACCCAGCCUAUAUCAUUAAUUCCUCUGUGUUCUGAAUAGAGAAUUACCUUCUCAUGCCCCAGGGGGGAAAAAAAAGAAAGCCGAUCAUUCAACCCCAAAUUUUGUUCCUUCUUUUAACUUUCUGAUCUUUGACAAAACAUGAUGCAUCUUUAGCCUAAGUAUAGAUUUUACUUCCAGAAACUGACUUUGAGGUGUGCAAUACCUCGGAUGCAUUGUAGGUGAAAGAAUUUUUCUACUUUUUUUUAAAUUAAGGAAGUGUUUUGGACCCGGCUUUCAUUCAAAAGCUCUGUCUUUAUUUUAUUGCAGGAUGAACAUUCAGUGUGCCUGAUAAAUGGUGGGGAUACAAUUCUCAUUCAGGUGCAAUUUACAAAGGCAGACUGCAUAAGAUAAAUUUGACUUGCACACCAGUGUAAGCCUGUGAUCACCCUUCAUGGCAAUCAAUGUUGAAACAGAACACAAAAUGAGGGGCCAUGGAUUUCGGUUCCAGAAACAAAUGAAACAUGUGGUGAACUACAUAUACCUGUCUGGACACGCCCCCUGCUGACUGCUCCUGUGGCUCCUCCCACAGACCCCGGUAUAAAGGCAAUUGAGGCCUGAGCCCGGCCUCUCUGUCUCCAGGACGUAGUAUGGUGGUCAACUACUGCUUGUUCCUUCUUCCAGUCAAUACAAGCAGAUGUCUCGCCUUCACGUCUCAGAGAGAGUUAUUGAUGGUGCAUCAAAACACAUGGCAGGUCUCCUGCCAUCUGGAUUAUUUGGACAUGUGUUGUGAUAAACAAUUACCGGAUGAACAUUCAGUGUGCCUGAUAAAUGGUGGGGAUACAAUUCUCAUUCAGGUGCAAUUUACAAAGGCAGACUGCAUAAGAUAAAUUUCACUUGCACACCAGUGUAAGCCUGUGAUCACCCUUCAUGGCAAUCAAUGUUGAAACAGACCACAAAACGAGGGGCCAUGGAUUUCAGUUCCAGAAACAAGUAAGUCACUGUUCAAAAUGAAGCCCACUGCCUUUAUGCAGUUAUAAAUAUGACUGUGGGAUCAAGGAAUUUUAAAAUGUGACAACUUCCUUUUUCUCUCAAUUCUUUUUGUAAAUAUUAAUGCUUACUUUACAGAUGAAACAUGUGGUGAACUACAUAUACCUGUCUGGACACGCCCCCUGCUGACUACUCCUGUGGCUCCUCCCACAGACCCCGGUAUAAAGGCAAUUGAGGCCUGAGCCCGGCCUCUCUGUCUCCAGGAUGUAGUAUGGUGGUCAACUACUGCUUGUUCUUUCUUCCAGUCAAUACAAGCCGAUGUCUCGCCUUCACGUCUCAGAGAGAGUUAUUGAUGGUGCAUCAAAACACAUGGCAGGUCUCCUGCCAUCUGGAUUAUUUGGACAUGUGUUGUGAUAAACAAUUCGGCUCCAAAUUUGUUACAUUGCAAUUUCUAAGAGGUUAAUGAUCCUUUCCCACAUUAAUCUUAUCUUGUACAGACAAUCGACUGAGUUGUGAGAAAGUGCUUCAGGUAGAAGCCCAAAUGGUGAGAUUUUCUGAUACUGUACUCUUUCAAGGUGGCAUAUGACUAUGAGAUGUGAAACCUCUUAGAGCAGCAUUUCCAUCAUUUCAGUAUCUUCAAAAACAAAAAGAAGGCCCACCAGCGCCUUUACUUUCUGAGAAAGCUGAAGAAAUUUGGCCUGUCCCCUAAAACCCUCACUAAUUUUUAUAGGUGCACCGUAGAAAGCAUUCUUCUAGGGUGCAUCACAACCUGGUAUGGAAGUUGUCCUGUCCAAGACUUGAAGAAGCUGCAGAAGAUCAUGAACAUAGCCCAGCACAUCACACAAACCAAUCUUCCAUCCUUGGACUCACUUUACACUGCACGCUGUCGGAGCAGUGCUGCCAGGAUAAUCAAGGACACGACCCACCCAGCCAACACACUUUUUGUCCCUCUUCUCUCUGGGAGAAGGUUCAGGACCUUGAAGAUUCAUAUGGCCAGAUUUGGAAACAGCUUCUUUCCAACUGUGAUAAGACUGCUGAACGGAUCCUGACCCAGAUCUGGGCCGUACCUUCCAAAUAUCCGGACCUGACUUGCACUUCCUUACUUUCCCUUUUCUAAUUAUGAUUUAUAAUUUAAAUUUUUAUUAUAUUUACUUUGAUUUGUACUUCAGGGAGCACGAAGCACGGAAUCAAAUAUUGCUGUGAUGAUUGUACGCUCUAGUAUCAAUUGUUUGGUGACAAUAAAGUAAUUGUAAUAAAUCACCCAAGACAAUCCAAACUCUAGAACAUAAAGAUAUUGGAAAACAGGAACAGGC